rnacentral:rRNA from 1 species
AAAGUAGCGAAGCACACAGACCAUCUGUCGAGAAAAGCCGCUAUUGUGUAUACCGUACCCGUACCGUAAACCGACACAGGUGGAUGAGGAGAGAAUCCUAAGGCCGGCGGGAGAAGCAUUGUUAAGGAACUCGGCAAAAUGACCCCGUAACUUCGGGAGAAGGGGUGCUCACGCAAGUGAGCCGCAGAGAACUGGCCCAAGCAACUGUUUAGCAAAAACACAGGUCUAUGCAAAACCGAAAGGUGAGGUAUAUGGGCUGACGCCUGCCCGGUGCUGGAAGGUUAAGAGGAGAUGUUAGAGCAAUCGAAGCAUUGAAUUUAAGCCCCAGUAAACGGCGGCCGUAACAAUAACGGUCCUAAGGUAGCGAAAUUCCUUGUCGGGUAAGUUCCGACCCGCACGAAAGGCGUAAUGAUUUGGGCACUGUCUCGACAAUGCACCCGGUGAAAUUGAAAUACCAGUGAAGAUGCUGGUUACCUGCGCCAGGACGGAAAGACCCCAUGGAGCUUUACUCUAGCUUGAUACUGGGAUUCGGUAUUGCAUGUACAGGAUAGGUGGGAGACGAAGAGGUGAUGACGCCAGUUGUCACGGAGUCGAUGUUGGGAUACCACCCCUGCAGUACUGGGUUUCUAACCUGCGGCCGUGACCCGGCCGGGGGACAAUGUCUGGUGGGGAGUUUGACUGGGGCGGUCGCCUCCGAAAGGGUAUCGGAGGCGCUCAAAGGUUCCCUCAGAAUGGUUGGAAACCAUUCGAAGAGUGCAAAGGCAGAAGGGAGCUUGACUGCGACACCGACGGGUGGAGCAGGUACGAAAGUAGGACUUAGUGAUCCGGUGGUAUGAAAGUGGGAUUGCCAUCGCUCAACGGAUAAAAGCUACCCUGGGAUAACAGGCUUAUCACUCCCAAGAGUUCACAUCGACGGAGUGGUUUGGCACCUCGAUGUCGGCUCAUCGCAUCCUGGGGCUGUAGUAGGUCCCAAGGGUUGGGCUGUUCGCCCAUUAAAGCGGUACGCGAGCUGGGUUCAGAACGUCGUGAAACAGUUCGGUCCCUAUCCGGCGUGGGCGCAGGAUAUCUGAGAGGAGCUGUCCUUAGUACGAGAGGACCGGGAUGGACUGACCUCUGGUGCAUCGGUUGAGCCACCAGGCUCAUGGCCGAGUAGCCAAGUCGGGACGGGAUAAACGCUGAAGGCAUCUAAGCGUGAAGCCCCCCUCAAGAUGAGAUAUCCCAUAGAGUUAAUCUAGUAAGACCCCUUGAAGACGACGAGGUAGAUAGGCAGAAGGUGGAAGUGUGGUGACAUAUGGAGCUGAUCUGUACUAAUAGGUCGAGGGCUUAAC